AGGCUUACUGCAGGAAAAGAGAUUACAGAUGUUGUGGUGACGGAAAUAGCCGGGGUGAUCUCUAAAGAUACACUGAAUUCAGUACUGGCUGCUUGUCAGAGUGGAUUAUUUGAGAAACUAGAAACCGUGGUUUUGGGUUUGAUAAAUAAUGGCCACGCAGCAACACAGCUUGUAAACCAACUGCAUGAUAUCAUCCUUGAACGAGAGGAUCUGACCGAUAAACAAAAGGCAGCUAUUGCAGAGAAACUUGCU